CAACAGUUCGGGCAUUUAUGUUUGGGGCUUUUGGAAUUUGCUGUAGCAAUCUUGCUUCGGCUGAGGACAUUAAAGAAGAGAUUGCUAAGGGCUUUAAUGCGAAACGAGCAUCUUGACGUUGGAUUUGACUGGAUUGGGCCUACUAUUUGAGGCGGGUACUUUUGACUUUAUGUCUUUGAUAUGCAUAGUAGUGAAUUUAACAAGUAGCAAUAA